rnacentral:rRNA from 1 species
GAUCGGCCCGCGUCUGAUUAGCUAGUUGGUGGGGUAAUGGCCCACCAAGGCGACGAUCAGUAGCUGGUCUGAGAGGAUGAUCAGCCUCACUGGGACUGAGACACGGCCCAGACUCCUACGGGAGGCAGCAGUGGGGAAUAUUGGACAAUGGGCGCAAGCCUGAUCCAGCCAUGCCGCGUGGGUGAUGAAGGCCCUAGGGUUGUAAAGCCCUUUCGGCGGGGAAGAUAAUGACGGUACCCGCAGAAGAAGCCCCGGCUAACUUCGUGCCAGCAGCCGCGGUAAUACGAAGGGGGCUAGCGUUGCUCGGAAUCACUGGGCGUAAAGCGCACGUAGGCGGAUUGUUAAGUCAGGGGUGAAAUCCUGGAGCUCAACUCCAGAACUGCCUUUGAUACUGACGAUCUCGAGUCCGGGAGAGGUGAGUGGAACUGCGAGUGUAGAGGUGAAAUUCGUAGAUAUUCGCAAG